rnacentral:rRNA from 1 species
UACGUAGGCAGCAAACGUUGUUCGGAGUUACUGGGCGUAAAGAGUGCGUAGGCGGUUCGCCAAGUUUGGUGUGAAAUCUCCCGGCUUAACUGGGAGGGUGCGCCGAAAACUGGCGGGCUUGAGUGUGGGAGAGGGAAGCGGAAUUCCUGGUGUAGCGGUGAAAUGCGUAGAUAUCAGGAGGAACACCGGUGGUGUAGACGGCUUCCUGGACCACAACUGACGCUGAGGCACGAAAGCGUGGGUAGCAAACAGGAUUAGAUACCCUGGUAGUCCACGCCCUAAACGAUGCAAACUUGGUGUAGGCAGUUCAGUCUGUCUGUGCCGGAGCUAACGCGUUAAGUUUGCCGCCUGGGGAGUACGGUCGCAAGGCUGAA